rnacentral:rRNA from 1 species
CGGCGAGAUGUCUAUAUGUGUGUUGGGGUCUUCUACCUCGGCUUCUGGAGCUACGCGUUAAAUCCACCGCCUGGGGAGUACGGCCGCAAGGUUAAAACUCAAAUGAAUUGACGGGGGCCCGCACAAGCGGUGGAACAUGUGUUUUAAUUCAAUGCAACGCGAAAAACCUUACCUACUCUUGACAUCCUGUAAUCCUUUAGAGAUAUAGGAGUGCCUUCGGGAACGCUGACACAGGUGCUGCAUGGUGUGUCCUCCUCUCGUGUUGUGAGUGUUGGGUUAAUUCCCCCAACAACGCCAACCCUUAUCCUUUGUUGCCCCGCGUUUGGCGGUAUCUCGAGGAGACUGCCGGUAAUAAACCGAAGGAGGUGGGGAUGACCUCAAUUCUGCCGGCCCUUACAAGUAGGGCUACCCCGCUGCUACAAUGGCAAAAACAAAAAGAAUGCCCCUCCGGGGAACAAACGAAACUCAAAAAGUCUGUCCUAAUCCGGAUUGGAGUCUGCAACCCCACUCCAUGAAGUCGGAAUCGUUAGUAAUCAUAAAUAUGACUGCGACGGUAAAUACUUUCCCGGUCCUUGUACACCCCGCCCGUCCCACCAUGGGAGUGGGUUGCAAAAUACGUGGGUAGCUUAUCCUUCGGGAGGCCGCUUACGAGUGUGUGAUUCAUGACUGGGGGUGAAUCCAAAAGGGAAAACAAAAA